UACAGAGGGUGCAAGCGUUGUUCGGAAUUAUUGGGCGUAAGGGGCGCGUAGGCGGUGCCACAAGUCACCUGUGAAAUCUCCGGGCUUAACUCGGAGCCUGCAGGCGAAACUGUGGUGCUGGAGUGUGGGAGAGGUGAGUGGAAUUCCUGGUGUAGCGGUGAAAUGCGUAGAUAUCAGGAGGAACACCUGUGGCGAAAGCGGCUCGCUGGACCAUAACUGACGCUGAUGCACGAAAGCUAGGGGAGCAAACAGG
rnacentral:rRNA from 1 species